rnacentral:lncRNA from 1 species
AUGUGAUACAUUUACUGUUGGAAAAAAAUGAUGAAUUUUAUGUUCAAAGGGCAUAAUCUGCCUCCUUUGUCAUAAUCUAUUUCUUUUCAAUAACUUGAAAACUGAAAAUGAAGUAUAUUUGCUACACAAAUGUAAAACUACACAAAUAGUUUUCUUGCUUAUCAUAUUUGUAUUCUUUUUUAUUUUGCAGCUUUAGAUUUGUGUCUCUAUUUUAGGUUCAUAAUAGGAUGGCAUUGGAGAUUUGUUCUCAACAAGAAAAAAAACCCAGAUGUACAAAGAAUGACAUAGACUUUCCAGUCAUAUUUAGCAGCAACAGAAAACCACAUAAGGGUAUUGAAAUUUUUUGGUUUUAACACAAAUAGAAAAAAGCUUUUCAAAUUAGCACACGGGAAGUCAGAAUACCUGCUUCUCAUUAUUGUACAUUUAUUGGUAAUAAGCUGUGUGACGUAUACAUUACUUCUCUCUGGGUGUCAGUUUUUUCAUCAUACAUUGAGGUGUUAGCCUAGAGGACUGCAAGUUUCUUUCAACAUAAAAUUAUUCUAUGAGAAAAAUAACAUAAAAAUUAUUGCAAGGAAAUGCCUUGAGAUUAGAGCUCUGUGUUUCAGAAACAUUGAUGGCUAAAAGAAACAACCAUUUUUAAAUGUCAGUGUUUUCUUAAUGCUUGACCCGCCAGCCAUGAUGCUGUUUCCUGUUGUGGGAGGUUGUUGUGCCUGGGAGCUAUUCACCAGCAGGAGUUUUACUCUUCAAAGAUAAGGGUCACAGCCUCCUCAGGAAAGGACACCUGAGAAAUUGGCUGCUUGUAUGCUUGAAGCAGCUAUAGGAAGGGACUUGUCAAAGCAUACUCUGGCCAUUAGCAACCGGGUUGGUCCCAGAAGCAGAGAAAUAAAAGAGAGAUGGUCAGUAGGGGAAUCAUUGUGUGUGGGGGUAUGGAUGAAUGACUCUGUGGACAGCAAUAAUGAACAUCCAAGUUUAUAUUCCCUGCCUGCAUUGUAUUCUUUUUCUCAUUCCUGUAUACUGGUCUUUGCUGAGCUUAGAAGAGCAAAAAGAAAGGUGUGGGUCAGUCCUUGCGAAAGAGAUGUAAGAGCUAUUUGUUACCAGCCAUGGCAGUAGGGAAAUGUUGGUGACAUGAUCUGACUUACACAGGAGCCUGGGGUAGCAGUGCAGAGGGAGAAGCAAUAAAGAACACCAGAACUAACUUGUGGAACAUGUCAUGAUCCUUGUGAAUUGCCUGGGAAGGGGAAUCUGAUAAAAGGCAGGUCUUCUUGUCAAUCUAACUAGGUGGAAGAUUGGAUUACUGCAAAAAGAAACUGGAGAAAUACACUAAAUCAAAUGGUUUGGCUGAUACAGAUGUUUCCUUUGCACUGGCAGAGUCGCUGACAGUUAACGAUGCAUCUCAACUCAUGAAUCUCUCCUGCCGCUCACCCUGACAAGUUGGAGAGGAAAAGACUGCCUGCAGAUGGUGUUUCAAGUGGUUGAUCUGAACCCAGAGCCAGCUGCCAACAUUUAAGUAUUCAACAGCAUGGAACUUGCCCUAGGAGAAACUAAGUGAUAGACAACAUACAGAAAGAAGAAGCGAUGAGAGAGCAAAAGAUGGUAUAUGAGCCCCUUGUUACAGCUACCAUUGUCCUCUCCUUUGUGAGUUAAUGAUGUCUCUAUUUCUG